CCUCAGUUCGGAUUGGAGUCUGCAACUCGACUCCAUGAAGCUGGAUUCGCUAGUAAUCGCGCAUCAGCCAUGGCGCGGUGAAUACGUUCCCGGGCCUUGUACACACCGCCCGUCAAGCCAUGGGAGUCGGGAGUGCCUGAAGUUCGUGACCGUCACAGGAGCGACCUAAGGCAAGACCGAUGACUGGGGCUAAGUCGUAACAAGGUACC
rnacentral:rRNA from 1 species